AAUUAAGGCCUAAUAAAUAGGGUGCCAGCAAUUGCGGUUAUACCCUAAGGGCGAGAAAUAAAAAAAUAAUUUAGAUAAAAUUUGGUAUUAUUAGGUGUAAUUCUACUUAAUCCAAAUUGUUUUAAUUUAAAAAUAAAGACUAAUAAAGCGGGAUAGACUCCGUGUAAUCUUUGUAUUUGUGAAAGGGUAGUAUAUAGAAACCCGGUCUCACGGCAGCAUCCUAAAAUUUAGGGAAUCAUGGUAGUUAAUUUGAUAACCCACAUUAUUUUUCACCAAAUUAAAUUCUUUGUGUAUGGUUGUGAAAAAUAGUAGGAUAUACUACGAUUGGAAUUCAAAUUUCAUAUAGGAUUAUUUUGGCAUACUGUGAUGUAGUUU
rnacentral:rRNA from 1 species